UAGGGAAUCUUCGGCAAUGGACGGAAGUCUGACCGAGCAACGCCGCGUGAGUGAAGAAGGUUUUCGGAUCGUAAAGCUCUGUUGUUAGAGAAGAACGUUGGUAGGAGUGGAAAAUCUACCAAGUGACGGUAACUAACCAGAAAGGGACGGCUAACUACGUGCCAGCAGCCGCGGUAAUACGUAGGUCCCGAGCGUUGUCCGGAUUUAUUGGGCGUAAAGCGAGCGCAGGCGGUUCUUUAAGUCUGAAGUUAAAGGCAGUGGCUUAACCAUUGUACGCUUUGGAAACUGGAGGACUUGCGUGCAGAAGGGGAGAGUGGAAUUCCAUGUGUAGCGGUGAAUUGCGUAGAUAUAUGGAGGAACACCGGUGGCGAAAGCGGCUCUCUGGUCUGUAACUGACGCUGAGGCUCGAAAGCGUGGGGAGCAAACAGG
rnacentral:rRNA from 1 species